CUACGGGAUGCUCCAGUGGGGGAUUUUGCGCAAUGGGGGAAACCCUGACGCAGCAAUACCGCGUGAGUGAAGAAGGCCUUUGGGUCGUAAAGCUCUUUUCUUGGGGAAGAUAGUGACGGUACCCAAGGAAUAAGCACCGGCUAACUCCGUGCCAGCAGCCGCGGUAAUACGGAGGGUGCAAGCGUUGUUCGGAUUUACUGGGCGUAAAGGGCACGUAGGCGGCACAGCAAGUUAAGGGUGAAAUCCCGGGGCUCAACUCCGGAACUGCUCUUAAAACUGCUGAGCUAGAGAUAGUCAGAGGCGGGUGGAAUUCCAGGUGUAGAGGUGAGAUUCGUAGAUAUCUGGAGGAACACCGGUGGCGAAGGCGGCCCGCUGGGGCUAUUCUGACGCUAAGGUGCGAAAGCGUGGGGAGCAAACGGGAUUAGAUACCCCCGUAGUC
rnacentral:rRNA from 1 species